CCUGAAGCAAUGGAGAAAAGGAGGGACCAGCCUGUCAACCUUAAAGGGACAGAGCAAAGCUGUUAAGAUGUUCAAAGCUCCCAGCAGGGAGCAUUGGCCACAACAGAAGGAGGACACUGAGUUAUGACAAGUCCUUGUCAGUCUUCCUUGCAAAAGCAAGAGUGAGCAUGUGUUGCUGAUGUGUGGUGAUUUGCAGAGGGAUCGGGGCUCAGCAUCGGAGCCAAGUUAAAUACACAAGGGCUUUCACAGAGGUCAAAAUGUAGAGAGCAAAUUACAAGAACCCCAGGGUACCUCCUUUAUGCAUCAAGCAUUGACUAAAUCCCAGCAGGAAGUGGCUAUUCCCCACCUACACCACCCUGUUUUGAAGAACCAUCCAUGCUGGGAUACAAAAUGUCACCACCAUCUCCUGCUUUUCCUGACCACUGCAUUCUGGAAGCAAGGAUCUGAAAGCAGAUAUGGAGUGAGAGAAACUGACACAGGUUUGGCUCAGUCAAAGCUCCAUCCCAGCUCUGUGGAACAUCUGCCCAUCUCCCUCUGAGGCCAAGAAGGAUCCAGGUGGACAAUGGAACAGUGGGAUUUGGCUACAGUUGGGACUGCUAAAUCUGUCAGUCAUCCAGACUGAAGAAGAGCCUGUUAACACAGAAUCCUAAAAAAAGAAGUUCAUAUGUGGCAAGGAUUUGAGAUAUUCACAUACAACACUCAGAAGUCUGACUGUAUAACAUUCUCCCACUGAUUUCUCACAGAAAACCUUUCCACAUCCAAAUUGUUCUGUCCCCAAACUCCCUUCCACUGACAGACUGAACUCUAUUUUCUUCCCCAGAACAUUCUUACCUGGUGAUGUUGGGGGGCUGGGUUGGGGGGCAGAAACUGUAACAACAGGGAAAAAGAAACCUAGGAAAAUGAGCUCAGUAAUAUUGUAGCCACCUCCUCAAAG
rnacentral:lncRNA from 1 species